ACUUACGGCCAUACCACCCUGUCUGCGCCCGAUCUUGUCUGAUCUCAGAAGUUAAGCAGGGUCGGGCCUGGUUAGUAGUUGGGUGGGUGACAGCCUGGGAAUACCAGGUGCUGUAAGCU
rnacentral:rRNA from 1 species